rnacentral:rRNA from 1 species
AUAUCAGCAUGCAUAGCAUAUCAAUAAGCGGAGGAAAAGAAACUAACAAGGAUUCCCUUAGUAACGGCGAGUGAAGCGGGAAGAGCUCAAAUUUGAAAUCUUCAAGGUUUUACCUUGACGAAUUGUAGUUUAAAGAAGUGUUUUCUGUUGAAGUUUUGGUAAAAGUUCUUUGGAAUAGGACAUCAUAGAGGGUGAGAAUCCCGUAUUUGACCAUUACUUUCAGCUUUGUGAUACACUUUCAAAGAGUCGGAUUGUUUGGGAAUGCAGUCCAAAAUGGGUGGUAAAUUUCAUCUAAAGCUAAAUAUUGGCGAGAGACCGAUAGCGAACAAGUACCGUGAGGGAAAGAUGAAAAGAACUUUGAAAAGAGAGUUAAACAGUACGUGAAAUUGUCAAAAGGGAAGCGUUUGACACCAGUGUUGUUUUCUCGAAAAUCAAUUAAAAAGAGUUGGAUUUUGUGUUGUAUUGACUUUAUCAGGCUUUCUUCACUCUUCUCCAGCUUUUUUUAAUGCACUUUUCGUUUAUCAAGUCAACAUCAGUUUCUUUUGUUGUAAAAAGGUCAUUGGAAGGUGGCUUUCUCUUCGGAGAAAGUGUUUAUAGCCUUUGACUCAUGCAAUCGGAGAGACUGAGGUCUGCAGCGUAGAUCCUUCGGGGUUAGAUACAUUUGUGCUAAGUUAUAGCUUUUCAUAGACAACUUGUUGACUAUGUUUAGUCUUGUAGCUUACUCGCUUAUGCUAUUUUACCUACGCUUAGGAUGUUGAACUCUAUCACACACAG